rnacentral:rRNA from 1 species
CGGAGUGGACGCACCGCUGGUGUUCGGGUUGUGAUGCCAAUUGCAUUGCCCGGUAGCUACGUGCGGAAAAGAUAAGCGCUGAAAGCAUCUAAGCGCGAAACUUGCCUCGAGAUGAGUCUUCCCUUGGGCCUUGAGCCCACUGAAGGAACGUUUAAGACUAAGACGUUGAUAGGCUGGGUGUGUAAGCGUAGCGAUACGUUGAGCUAACCAGUACUAAUGAUCCGUGAGACUUAACCUUACAACACCGAAGGUGUUU